ensembl:miRNA
AGAUGUGCUCUCCUGGCCCAUGAAAUCAAGCGUGGGUGAGACCUGGUGCAGAACAGGAAGGCGACCCAUACUUGGUUUCAGAGGCUGUGAGAAUA